rnacentral:lncRNA from 1 species
AAAUCCUGACAAGGUGAGGUGAUUACCUUCAAAACAAUAGGUUGCUUUCUGGCCUUGGGUGUAUCUAGAAAUACCCUCUGGGAGCUAGGUCCUGGAAUGAGGACUUCAGGACUCUGCCCGCUGCCCUAUUCUACUGUGGCUGAAAUCCAAGUUCAAGGGGAAAAGUCAAGGACUAGAAUCACAGGUCAUAGCAUCAUUCAGUUAAGCAGGAAACUAAGAUAAGCAGUGUUCCAUCAUAAGUCUUACUCAGGGAAAGUAACUUUAUCAUCUGCAGUGCACAAGACCAGAAGAAUGACCGAUCUUUACCCCUCACCUCAUUAUAACACUAAAACCUCUGCCAAGGGGGUUCUUAUCUGCCAUUUUCUGCUCAUGUGAUGUAUGUGUUAGCAUGAUCCCUUACUACACCUGAGCAUCCUGCACUCCACCCCAUACAUGUAGUGAUGCUCACCUACUUCUUGAAUUAUUAAUGUCACCUCCUUAAGACACUGCAAUGCACUCCCCUCUGGGAGCCGGCUGGAGAAAUUUUGCUCCAGUACUGUCUCCCUUGUGUUCCAGCAUAACCCCCUAAUAAAGCUUUGUCUGGGAA